GACGAACGCUGGCGGCGUGCUUAAUACAUGCAAGUCGAACGGACAGGCACUGCUGUUGUGGGGUGCUCGAGUGGCGAACGGGUGAGUAACACGUAAGUAACCUGCCCUUGACUAUGGGAUGGCUACAGGAAACUGAGGCUAAUACCGAAUAGGAAGACCUGCUUCAUGGAGGGGGGGGGAGAGAUUCGGCGGGCGGGGAUGGACUCGCGGCUGAUCCGCUUGUUGGUGGGGUAGUGGGUUACCAAGGCUCCGACGGGUAGCCGGCCUGGGAGGGUGACCGGCCACAAUGGGCCUGAGGUACGGCCCAGACUCCUACGGGACGCAGCAGUGGGGAAUAUUGCGCAAUGGGCGGAAGCCUGAUGCAGCGACGCCGCGGGCGUGAUGACGGCCUGCGGGUUGUAAACCGCUUUCGCCUGUGACGAAGCGUGAGUGACGGUAAUGGGUAAAGAAGCACCGGCUAACUACGUG
rnacentral:rRNA from 1 species